AUCAUCUUGGCUCAGGGAGCUACAUUUUGUUUUCAUCUUCCUAUUGCUGUCACCUUAGGAGAUUAAUGCAAGUCCAUGCAUGAAAUCAAAAUGUAGCUCCCUGAGCCAAGAUGAUUAAAAUAAUAAUUACACUUAGCCAAAACAAAAUUGAAAAUGAGAUGGUUUCUGUUCCGCUACUAACACAUUGUUAUACAAUUUCUACGUCUCUUUCAAUUGGUUGUGGCGUUUGAUCAGAGUCAUUGGAGCUUGAUCUAUUUUUAAAAGAUUUCUGGAAGAUAGCAAGGGCACUUUUUGAUCUUGAAAAUGCUGGAGUUCCAUUGCUUGAUUUGCUGUCAACAUUCUUCUUCACCAGAUCUUCUAACAGUCUCUUCACAAAAUUUUGGAAAUGGCGUCUGGAUGUUGGAUACCUUGAGAUAGAUUUAGUAAUUCCUUGAAGCCUUCUAGCUAGUGCAUCAAGUUCAGCUCGUCUGCGUUCAGACUCUGGAGCUGGACCAAUAUUUGCACUUUUCAACUUCGUAGUGUCACCAUUCAACAAUACUAGUUUGCAGAGAUAAUC
rnacentral:misc_RNA from 1 species